GCGCACGCGCAGUGGAAGCACAUCCGCCUCAGCUGAGCCUCUGAGAGUUGUGCGGAAAAACCGAUGAAGUCCAGAAAUUUAUUACAAAGUAGCGAUUAGCACCACGAUGAGCGGAACGAUCGUAGACAACAAUGCGUCUUCUUUAUCAAUCCCGACAGACAUCGCCGGACACAUGUUAGAUCUAGACGACGACGAUGACUUGGAAGUUUUCAGUAAGGAUACGAGAGAAGGGAGCUCUUUUAACGCCUCCAUGCAGACCUCCCCUGGUUCAAUGAUCAACCAAUACAAGUUUGAGGAAGAAGAAGAAGACAUUGACACCAAAGACAUUUUUGUCACGGUUGAUGACCCUGAAAGUUAUGUGACUGCUAUAGAGACGUUCAUAACUUACAGGGUUGUGACCAAGACCACUCGGAGCGAGUUUGACUCGAGUGAGUUUGAGGUGCGAAGGCGAUACCAGGACUUCCUGUGGUUAAAGGCACGCCUGGAAGAGGCUCAUCCCACGCUAAUUGUUCAUCCACUACCAGAGAAGUUUGUGAUGAAAGGAAUGGUGGAGAGGUUUAAUGAAGAUUUCAUUGAGACGAGGAGAAGAGCGCUGAACAGGUUUCUGAACAGAAUAGCAGAUCAUCCGAUUUUCUCCAGCACUGAAGAUUUUAAGAUCUUUCUCACAGCAGAUGUCGGGGCCUUGACGUCUCAUAAGAAACAGGGUCCUGGGUUUCUCAGCAGAAUGGGGGAAUCUGUGAGAGGCCUCGCUGCCACCGUCAGAGGGGUCAGAAAUCGGCCGGAAGAAUUCACAGCCAUGCAGGAGUACGUAGAGGCCUUCGGACAGCAUAUCAGCUCACUCGAUAAAGUCACGCAAAGAAUCGUCAGAGAGCAGAAAGAGUACCUGGAGGAUCUGAAGGAAUGUGUGCCAACGUACACCCUGUGGUCAAACUCGGAGGAGGAGCUGGCAGAGCCCCUGAGGGGCAUGGCAAGCUGUCUGGAGAGAUGCUACAAAGAGACAGAGGAGCAGGUCAAAGAGCUCAAUGAUAACCUCAAUCCAACCCUUCAUGAAUACGUCCUCUGUACUGAGACGCUCAAGACGGUGCUCAGGAGGCGAGACAUCAUCCAGGCGGAGUUCGAGGCAAAGACCGAAGCCCUCCUCGCCAAGCAUGCCGACAGGGAAGCGGAUUCUAAGGUGCUGAGUUUAGCAUGGGACAACUUGGUGGGACGGUCCCCUGAGGAAGUCAAACAGCAGAAACAGCAAAAACUCGAAGUGGAGAUUACGGAGAUUAGGGAAGACUUGUACAAGAUGGAGGACAGGCUGGAGUGGGCGAAUAAUGCAUUAAAGAGCGACUGGACCCGCUGGAAGAAGGUCAUGAGAACUGAUCUACGAUCAGCCUUCAUGGACACGGCAGAGAAGAAUGUGAACUACUAUGAGAAGUGUUUGGCUGUAUGGGAGACAUUCUUGCUGUCUCAGAGAACAGAUGCUGAAGGAACUCAAGUGUUGGACUCUUCCUAAACUCCCAUGGUGCUUUUAGCUAAACGGUGGACCACCAAAAAGUCGCUUUUUUGUGCAGACGAACAGAGCCAAACACAUACCAAAAAAGGAACCACAGGCCUCUGCAAACCUAGACCCAGAAAGAGAUCUAUAAUAGAAAUGUGUUUUUCUCUCAUCAAUACGUUUGCCCCAAAGCACCUCCCUAAUGCUUUUUAUAAUGGGUUUAAAAAAUAAUAUUGCCAAAUGUUUUAUAUUGAGACAUUUCUCAAGUUCAAAUCAUGAGAUUGGGUUUCAGGGCAUGAGAAGAAUAAUGCAAUUCAUGAAAAAUGAGGAUGCAUGCAUCCUGGCUUUAUUGCUUCAUCUGACCUUUAUAUCGUGGUUUCACUAAGGAUUUAAUCUAUAUGAUUUUUUUAGAAUAUGUCCUGCCCUUUUUACAGAUCAAUGCAAAAUCUGUUUACCUUUUAUCAGAGCUGCCUCACCUCAAAAACUUUCCUAAAUAUAAAUGCAUACGGAAAGAUGCAUUUUGUGCGUUGGGAUGAAUUUUAUCAUUGCAUUCUUCAAGGAUGAUCCAAAAAUUAUAUAUUUUUAAAAAGCCGACAUUCCAAAAUGGUUUACAUUUGACAGUGCAUUAAUUUAGCAUCAAUAGAAUUUAAUUAUUGCCAAAGAAUAUGAAACAAGCUAAUCAACAUUAAUGGUAUGAUUUUAAUGCUAUGCACUAAUGUCUGUAAUUCAAUUGCAAACUGACUUGAAAUACUUACAGCACGGUGGUGAAAUGUUUUUUAUUAAAUUAACUUGCAACUUACAAUGAUGUAUUUUGUUGGAUAACUGUUGGAUAUUCUCUCUCAAGGGAGACUGAGCAAACAGCUGCAUGAUGGAUCCUAAAGUAGGUUAUCACAGCUGAAGUGUAUUAAACGCAAAAAAAACUUGCUUUAAAUGAAAGUUUGGAGGGAAUCUGAUUCAUUAAAGAAGCAGAAUUCUGUCAAACUGGCAACCAUAUCGCUGCUUAACGCCAAUGUAUUUAAAACACAUAUGAAAUCAUUGGCAGCUUUUGAACUACAUCACAUUUCAUGUCCAUGUCUUGUAGCAAAGCCUAUUGUUUCGUCGCAUCCUUCAAAACCCUCUGGCUGGAAACCCUUAGCGUUUUGCUGAGCUAACACAUUUUAUGAACAAACAAUUUUUUUGAGUCACGAUCUGUCCAUGUGUACAAACGCCUGGAAUGGCACAAUUAAGAGAACCCCCCCCCCAGAUUUUUCAAUUACAGUCAUAAAAACAUGCUUUCCAAAAAACCCGAGGUGUUGGAAAGCAACACCAUGUUGUCUUGAACUGGAAAAAGCCAAUUUAGGAGAUUCUCCUCAGCAAUAAUUUGCUAUCUUUGAAUGGAAAAUACAUUGGGAAGUUUAGCUGGGAAGAAUCUGCCCCGCUUUGGAUUUUCCUCAUUGUGAGAUGGGAAGUUCAGACAUAUUUUUCGUUUUUUUACAUAAUAAGUAGCCUAAGUGAUGUCUCCUAAUAUGUCCCCAUUUGCUCUUAUUCCUGUCUAGUGAAACAUAUUAAGUGUUACAUAGAACAAAAUAACAAUAGUUUGGCACAUAGAAGUUCUAUUCUUGUUAUGUUUAGAAGUGGGUCGACCCGCUCAACAUGCGUCACCUUAGAAGUUAAUGUAAUGUAUCCAAGUUCCUGGUUACUGUUGUGUAUCGUGUGUGUGUGUGUAUGUAAUUAUAGCAUUAGGUGUGAACCAGACCAUGUCAACCCACAUAGAGGAACCGACAAGACAAACGUGUGCCAACAUGCAGCUCACUGAAAACAAACGGAUAAGAAGAAAGAGUGAGAAGAGAGAUCAGUGCUGUCCUUGGGAAGAUAAUGGAAUGAACGAUGAUGAAUUUCACGAAUGCCAAAUGGCUAAACAGAAAGUUCUGCACAAAUGUCGUUAUUUGGACCAAAGGAACAUAAUUUUGUCCCCCAAUUUAUUUGUCCAGUCGAGGUCUGACACGUCCGUAACAAAUGAUUCAUCGGACGGAGCAAACAGAAGAUGGAAAGCAUCUCAGCGAAGCAUCCCUUCUAAACGUUCUGCCAACCCAGGCUUGAUUCUUACCAGAACUGUUGCACUGAACCACAGCGUACCCAUAAAUCCAAGUGAUUCCACUGACUCAAUGACCCAGAAACAAAAUAUUGUUUUUUGCGAGAACUCAACGCCUGUAUGUCUUAUAGGGGUGAGUGAAGCACUGCCAAUGAUAGAGUGGAUUCAAACAUCAUCUCAUGUGCAACCAAGUGAAGAAAUGGCUGGGCGGCACGUCGAAUCUGUCUCGGCGAACCAUGCAACAAGAAGCCCUCAACCUGCAUGGAAAAGGGCAUCUGUUCAUAGACUGGAAUGGUGUCACGAGUGCCCGGCAAAGGUGGCCCAUCUGGGUUCAUCAUCAUUGGCUGCCAAUGGCCCGUACGCAGCCAGACUCAGGGUGAUUCGGAGGGUCGCCCGGGUAAGUGGAGGUUAUAGAGCCGCUGCGGUGCAGAGCGGUCACGUGGAAGAAAAACUGUGCCCUUACAGACUACCAGAUCAUCACAACGCCCUGCACAAAAGCUGUUAUCAAACUGGCAACCAAAUAUGUCUCUGUAGCUCUUUCCAACCACGGGCAAGACACAGUCCAGGUGUCCAGAGAGACCAGAGAGACGCUACGCAGAUCCUUGAAAAGACAGAGCAAGGACAGAAACGAGAGUUUUCAGAGGUGAUCAAAGUGAUGGACACACAAUGUCAGUCAGGAUGGCCGAGGACCGCUGAAACCCCUCCUUCUCCACACCACGUCACUUUCUCUCAUAUUCUACAGGUCCUGCAGAGCAAACCAGCCAAUUUCCCAGAGGUCAGGGGCCAGAGACGCCACAGGGCCCUUUAAACGCCACUGAGAGCAUUCAAUAUAUGAUGUCCUUCAUUUUAUAGUCUGUACACAUCAGUGAAGUGCCGCUUAAGAAUGUGCCACAGGGGACUGGAAUAUAUUUUUUAUUCCAACUUUAUAUUCCAUCGUCUGUACAGUGCGAAAGGUCAUGAAUUCAAGAAAGCCCUGAAUGAAAGGACUCAAAGAGAUGGAUUCACAUAUUUUGAUUCACUAGGAAAUCCAUCAACGGCAACCAAGUAAACCAACCAUGGGAGAAGAAAUAUAUGGGAAUACAACAAAACAUGUGCAAGCUAUAAAAUAGACCAUGAUCAAAUAACAUAAAUAUAAACACUAUUAAAAACACUUAUUCAGUAAGUAAUUCAGAGUGUAAUACAGCUAAGAUUUAAAGAAUAAGAAUGAUGAUAAAUAUAGUACAAUAUGUACUUACAGUAUGCCAUUAUACACCCGUACACUCACGCUAACAGCACAAACAUAAGAAAAUAAAAACAUGAAUCAUUUUCUGACAAAAAAUAUAUAAUAUGCAUUUACACCAUGUUUGUUUUUCAUUUUAAUACUGUUGCAGGUGCUAUGAUCAUUUUAACGCUUAUAGCAGGAUCUAAAAAUCCUCAUUAUUAUUAUUAUUAUUUUGAUUUUUUUAUGUGUUUGCAUGUAAACAUGCAGCUAUGUCUUGUGUAAGGACGUGUGAUAAGAGCUCUUGCAAUAAUAUACUAGAUUAUUUCACAACAAUAUUCUACAUGAUAAAAAAUACAUAUCGCUGCUGUCCCUCUGAAACCUUGUAUCUCCAUAUUUGAUGAUUUUCAUUUUUGGCAUAAAUCAUUAUCAUUAAUCACCACUGGGUUUUGCAAAUAUCUAACCAAUAAAAAGUGCUUGUCAACUUUGACAGCACAGUAUUUAAUCAGUGUUUUUACCAUUUUACGAAAAACAUGGAGAUCCAAGGUUUCGGAAGGACAGAGACGAUAUCAUUUUAGGGGAGGCCAAAUAGAUGAGUUUCUCAUGAGAUACAGACGAUCAAAUGUUAUUGCUCUUUUAAGAAUUGGUCACAUGAAUUUAUGAAACUGAGAACAAUCAUUUAUGUGUAUAAAGCACCAGAAGACUAACGCCUUUAAAGAAAUGUACAAGUUAUUUCCAACUUAAUUUAGUAAUGCACAGACAAUCAUUUUCGACUUCCCACAGUCGUAACACCAAACAAAAAUGUGAUUACAGUAAAGCAAAAGCUUAGCAGACAAAUAAACCAGAACACUUAAACCUUAAUGGUGUUACUGACAUCAUACUCUUUAUUACAGUUUGCAUAUUAUGUGAAUAUAAAUACUGAAUUUGUGCAUACAACAAAGCCAACUGAUUUUUUUUCCUUUUAGUUUUAGAGGGAUGAUUCGAAAUGAUCAUCUGUGUUGAAAAUAACCUGGAGUAUUUCUCUAAAGUCACAUGACUUAAAUGUAGAGGGUCAGAAUUUACUGUUAUAAAACAACAAAAAUGCAAGUGACUUAUUUUAUACGACAGCUUUUUCUAUUUUUCAGUACACAUGAGGUAUCGUGGUUUGUUUCAGAGAUCACAGCAGGAUUCUUUCUGACUCGUUCCUUUAACAUUUCGGACAUCUACCCACUAUUAUGUUGGCCAUUAAAACAGUGAACGUCUAUGUCGCGGAGGGUAAAUGGACGGACCCAUUACUUUAGUGAAAUGGCUUGUGAUUGUCUUUGCAGAUGAUUCAUUCUUCACAGCGGGGUGAGCCAAGAUCCUCAGGGUUCACACGUAGCUUUACUGGGCCCAUUACGAUGCCCAUCGGCCUCUGUGUGAAAUUGAGUCACGGCUCAUGAAUGAUCAAACCGAUGCUGUUUUUAUGCUGCCAGUACAGUGAGUUGACUGUACUCGAGUUUAUAUAAGCUUUGGUAUUUUUUAUGUAAGCUUUCAAUGUAUAUUUUAGUUGAUAUUAGAUUUUUGAGCACACUGUGUAUUUACAAAUGCACUCAUCCAAUGCAAGCAAUUAACAAGAAACAUAUUCAUAUAGGAAUGAAAACACUUUCUGGUGUAUUUGGAU